rnacentral:rRNA from 1 species
UACGGAGGGUGCAAGCGUUGUUCGGAAUCAUUGGGCGUAAAGCGCGUGUAGGCGGCUUGGCAAGUCGGUUGUGAAAGCCCGGGGCCCAACCCCGGAACUGCAUCUGAAACUGCCUGGCUAGAGUCCCGGAGAGGAAGGCAGAAUUCCCGGUGUAGGGGUGAAAUCCGUAGAUAUCGGGAGGAAUACCAGCGGCGAAGGCGGCCUUCUGGACGGUGACUGACGCUGAGACGCGGAAGCGUGGGGAGCAAACAGG